GAUGAACGCUCGCUGUGUGCCUAAUACAUGCAUGUUGAACGGGAUGUAGCAAUACAUUCAGUAGCGAAUGGGUGAGUAACACGUACCUAACCUACCUUUAAGACUGGGAUAACUAUUGGAAACAAUAGCUAAUACCGGAUAUAGUUAUUUAUCGCAUGAUGAGUAAUAGAAAGGAGCUUCACAGCUUCACUUAAAAAUGGGGGUGCGGAACAUUAGUUAGUUGGUAGGGUAAUGGCCUACCAAGACGAUGAUGUUUAGCCGGGCCGAGAGGCUGUACGGCCACACUGGGACUGAGAUACGGCCCAGACUCCUACGGGAGGCAGCAGUAAGGAAUUUUCCACAAUGAGCGAAAGCUUGAUGGAGCGACACAGCGUGCAGGAUGAAGUUCUUCGGAAUGUAAACUGCUGUUAUAAGGGAAGAAAAAAUAGAAUAGGAAAUGAUUUUAUCUUGACGGUACCUUAUUAGAAAGCGACGGCAAACUAUGUGCCAGCAGCUGCGGUAAUACAUAGGUCGCAAGCGUUAUCCGGAAUUAUUGGGCGUAAAGCGUCCGUAGGUUUUUUGCUAAGUCUGGAGUUAAAUGCUGAAGCUCAACUUCAGUCCGCUUUGGAUACUGGCAAAAUAGAAUUAUAAAGAGGUCAGCGGAAUUCCUAGUGAAGCGGUGGAAUGCGUAGAUAUUAGGAAGAACACCAAUAGGCGAACGCAGCUCACUGGUUAUAUAUUGACACUAAGGGACGAAAGCGUGGGGAGCAAACAGG
rnacentral:rRNA from 1 species